GAGAGAAAAGGGUGAGAGGGGGCUGAGGGAGAGUGAAGGAGGGCGGGGAGUACGGCGAGCGCGGCGGCGUAGGGGAAGCUAGAACGCAGUGGCGUAGGGGCACCUCGAGCGCGGCGUCGUAGGGGCACCUCGAGCGUGGCGGCGUAGGAGCAGCUCGAGUGCGGCGGCGUAGGGGCAGCUCGAGCUCGCAGUGCGGAGCCCCCCUCUCCUACGGGUGCGACGACAAGGGCCGUUUCGCGCGGCAGCGCGGUAGCUGCCCUCCUCCAGUCCGCCUCGCACAGCAUCGGGUGCGACAACAAGGGCCGUCACGGGUGGCAGCGGUAGCUGCCCUCCUCAGAUCCGCCUCGCACGACAGUAACGGCGGUGAGUAAGCACGGAGGAGGACGCAGAAGGGCACGAGCGAGUGGGGGGAAGGGUCGGCGGUGAGCGGAGGGGGGAAGGGACCUGCGGAACUCCACGACCGGCUCCAGCGGGCCCAGCUCUAACUACCGCCGACCCGCAAGUUAGGCACUAGGUGUACAGUCACGACGGUGUUGGACCAAAAAGGGGUAGUGCGGCGGACCACGUCGUACACACGCCGUCGGCCCUACCUGCUAGUGUACGUCUCAAACCGUCCGUUAUGCACGUAGUCUGGUCACCGACUACCGUUCUUCCUUAUCUUUUGUUGAAGUGUAGACGGUGUGUUAAUUAAGUAGAGUGUAGUAACCGAAUCAAGUCAGUCUCUAACGGAGAUAUCUAUUAGAGGGUUACGUAAUCAUGUUAAGUAUAACGUUCCCACUGUCCCGUCCUGUCAUGUUACUCCCAGCUUAAUAUAGAAGUGUCUAGUAAUCUAGAAAUCCAAGUGCUGUGGCAGCAGGAGCGUAUCUCUUCUUUCGGUGGGGUUGGCGAACGAGGAGUUGCGACCAGUUAAUAUUUGUAGUCCGACCAAAAUAGACAAUAAAGACAAGAAAGAGCUUCUCCAACGGUACGUACCAACUACCUAACUUGAGGUUCCUAAAACAAAUUAAAGAGAGAUGGAAGUUGUGGUCGUUUUCUAACUCACAUUACGAGCCAGUACAAACUUAAAUUUAUACAGGAAAAGGUAAAAGUUUGACUGAUAUAAUAACUCAUAACUAUGAAAACUAAAACAAAAUACUAAGUACCGUUGCACUUUCAAUGGUUGCUGGACCAUCUCCAAGAAUAAAGAAUGUUUGGACAUAAACUCACACAUCAUGGAAGUGAACGUUAACGUGAAGAGAUUGUUAUUGUAUGUACUGACAAAGGAAUCAAGAAGAAGUUUAAUAGCUAUAGGAAGGUAUUUUUUGUGUCGUCCAGUCGUAUUUAUGAAGAGGCUUCCUCUUGGUUCAGUUACUCUACUGAACCUUAGAGAACCUAUACAAUAAUACGUGAAGGAUGUCCCAAACAACCAAAUAAAAGACCUAAGAAUAACACACGGUGUAUUCUAUAUAAUUACUUAGUCUACAUUGUAACAAAAGAAAACUCGAAAGGAACCGUUCCAGACUUUCGUUUCUUCGUUUUCGUACGCCGGUACGUCUGAGAUGUUCUCCGUAGAGCGGCUCCACACGGUCAUGUCUUUCUACCGGUACAGCCACCCCGCAUACUACGAACAAAGUCUACUAGUGUUGUUCAACGAACGAGAAUAGUCUCGACUUUUUUCUUUACAGGCACCGUGAAACUGAAACUAGCGAAAGAGCUGCUCAGGUGCGGCCGGUGCCGCGUGGGAGACCUCGUUCACAGCGGUGGCUUGGAACAUUACCUACCGGAGAGGUGAGGAUACACAUAACAAGUCGACGACAUCUCUGUGCUGUCCGACCCUCCGUACUAGUUCAAAGAUUAAUCGAGACAACGACCACAGGGUGUCGAGACAAAGACAACUUUACCAUCUGCCCCAGGAAAAAAUAAAAAGACCACAACGACAUAACAAGUUCUUUUUUGGUGAUGGUCAAUAAGAACCAAUGCUGAAGAACCUCUAAGUCAAGACAAUUUUUCUUAGUACUUACCUCUUCUUGGUAGCACAUUUGCAGUCGUAGGUCAGUAUAGAUUCCCUGCUCGAUACCCCCCGUCUAGGUCCUGUACCCUACGAUUGGUAGACGAACCCUACCCAAAGAAAGUUUAGUCACUUACCUAACCUCGGUAACUUCAUAAACUUACCUCGUAUACAUACGUAUACGACGUGAAGUAGAAUCCAUAUCGUCUAAACCUCGACCAUCGCAACGCAUUCGUGUGUAGUUCAGUUUGGCCUGAAUUUAACCAGUAUCGAACCCUCCACACGGAAAUACCGAACGAAGGUGCACCUAAUCAUAAUGAUGAGUAGUUCUUUGUUCUUGGAUCCCCUCUUACCUCGGGAGAGUCGCGAGUCCGUGAGAGCUGGCAGCCUAACCGAAAAGUCAAACAAGUUUAUUCUUGCUCCAAGUUUUAACUUGAACAAAACGAUAUUUACCGGAGGGCGUGUCAACAUAUGUUUCGACUUCACCCAUGGUGUCGGUACUUUCCUUAUCAUCAAUGUUUCCACCCAACCUCUCCUUGACUCCUUCAACACCUACGAGUUCGGAACACGUUCUUCUCCCUUACUCUUUUGACUCUUCUACGAACACAAAAAUACCAAAUAAUAGGAAUCUAAUAUAAACUGAUAAACAACACCGCUUAACCGGCCCAAAAGGAUGGUUUAAGAGUCCCUCCUUACAGCUCCCCAAAUCUCAACUUAAAUUCCAGAUGGUUAUUAUAUCCUACUUUAAACACCACACACAAAGUCAAUAGAAUACUUGUUCACUCUGGUGGUAAUUAAAUUUAGAGAGUAUGUGAAACAAUUCAACAGUCAGACUGUAUACACG
rnacentral:rRNA from 1 species